rnacentral:rRNA from 1 species
CCCUUAGAUGUCCGGGGCUGCACGCGCGCUACACUGAAGGAAUCAGCGUGCUAAAACCAUUGUCGAAAGGCAUUGGUAAACCCAUUAAAAUCCUACGUGAUUGGGAUCGGGAAUUGCAAUUAUUUCCCUUGAACGAGGAAUUCCCAGUAAGUGUGGGUCAUAAGCUCGCGUUGAUUACGUCCCUGCCCUUUGUACACACCGCCCGUCGCUGCCCGGGACUGAGCCGUUUCGAGAAAAGCGGGGACUGCUGCUGUCGGGGCUUUCGGGCCUUGGCUUCGGUGGAAACCGGUUUAAUCGCAGUGGCUUGAACCGGGCAAAAGUCGUAACA